rnacentral:rRNA from 1 species
AUACGUAGGGUGCGAGCGUUAAUCGGAAUUACUGGGCGUAAAGCGUGCGCAGGCGGUUUUGUAAGUCAGAUGUGAAAUCCCCGAGCUUAACUUGGGAACUGCGUUUGAAACUACAAGACUAGAGUGUGUCAGAGGGGGGUAGAAUUCCACGUGUAGCAGUGAAAUGCGUAGAGAUGUGGAGGAACAUCAAUGGCGAAGGCAACUCCCUGGCCAAAGACUGACGCUCAUGUGCGAAAGUGUGGGUAGCGAACAGGAUUAGAUACCCUGGUAGUCCACACCGUAAACGCUGUCUACUAGCUGUUUGUGGAUUUAAUCCGUGAGUAGCGAAGCUAACGCGAUAAGUAGACCGCCUGGGGAGUACGGCCGCAAGGUUAAAACUCAAAUGAAUUGACGGGGGCCCGCACAAGCGGUGGAGCAUGUGGUUUAAUUCGAUGCAACGCGAAGAACCUUACCUACUCUUGACAUACUAGAAACUUUUCAGAGAUGAAUUGGUGCCUUCGGGAAUCUAGAUAC